GCUAUCCAUAACUUUCCUUAAUAGCAGAAUUAGCAAAUAUCCUGAAAAUAAAAUCUCAAUGCUUUAUAAAUGUUAUGUGGCAAUCAUCAGGUCUUAGUUUCUAAAUACAUCAUUCGUCAUUAAAAGGAAUCAGGGUAUUCCUCUGUAAAAUGGCUGAUUCCAGGGAUGGGGCAGGAAACGUACAAAAUGAAUCCAGAACAACUUGCUAUGUCUCAUAAAAGUGAUGAGAACACAGGGGCGAGCCUGAAGGAAUCCACACUGGUCCUUAAAUCUGGGAUGAAGGUAUUCAA